rnacentral:tRNA from 1 species
CAGUGUGGCUUAGUGGAAAGAGCAUGGGCUUCAGAAGCAGAGGUCCUGGGUUUAAAUCCCAGCUCUG